UUCGUGCGUUAUUGUUUCGCUUGAUUCCGCGUUAGGCCAGCCCGUCCAUUGUUACGAUCGAUAAAACGCGUGUGACGGUGCCCCCGCGGCUCCUGGGAGUGUCUGGCGACCGAUCGAUUGACGCGACACUAUUUGUGUGAAGGGGACCGGCGAUCCAUACACUCCCUAAAAGCCUUAUAUGGAGCGGGACAACUAUAAAACUGGUGCUUCAUCGCCCACUAAA
rnacentral:lncRNA from 1 species